rnacentral:rRNA from 1 species
UACGGAGGGUGCAAGCGUUAAUCGGAAUUACUGGGCGUAAAGCGCGCGUAGGUGGUUUAAUAAGUUGAGUGUGAAAGCCCCGGGCUUAACCUGGGAAAGUCAUUCAAAACUAUUAGACUAGAGUACGGGAGAGGGUAGUGGAAUUUCAGGUGUAGCGGUGAAAUGCGUAGAGAUCUGAAGGAACACCAGUGGCGAAGGCGGCUACCUGGCCUGAUACUGACACUGAGGUGCGAAAGCGUGGGGAGCAAACAGG